rnacentral:rRNA from 1 species
UGGGGAAUAUUGCACAAUGGGGGGGAACCCUGAUGCAGCGACGCCGCGUGAGUGAAGAAGUAUUUCGGUAUGUAAAGCUCUAUCAGCAGGGAAGAAGAAAAUGACGGUACCUGACUAAGAAGCACCGGCUAAAUACGUGCC